UCCUACGGGAGGCAGCAGUGGGGAAUAUUGGACAAUGGGCGCAAGCCUGAUCCAGCCAUGCCGCGUGAGUGAUGAAGGCCCUAGGGUUGUAAAGCUCUUUCCGCGAGGAGGAUAAUGACGUUACUCGCAGAAGAAGCCCCGGCUAACUUCGUGCCAGCAGCCGCGGUAAUACGAAGGGGGCUAGCGUUGUUCGUCUUCACUGGGCCUAAAACGCACUUACGCGGACUUUUAAAUACGGGGUGAAAUACCAGGGUCUCACCCCAGGACCUGCCAUUUAAUACUGGAUACUCUAUGAAUCCCA
rnacentral:rRNA from 1 species